GACCAGCAGUGACCCCCUCAAUGACUCCUAUACGUCCAAGAUUCAAAUUGAAAACACUGGUGACGCAAUUCAGUUUGUUAAAAGGAGCAUGAUACCAUGACUGAGCUCUUUUUAUUUCACCAAGUAAACAAGUUGUGAAAUCAAACAUCCCCCGCGAAACCUUUCAUGUUCAUCUUGUCAGGAGGGCUGAACAUGAGCUGGCAUUCCCUAAACUGAUGUUCUGUCCUGUCACGGAUAUUAAAUUGCAUCUUGUGUGUGAAUGGCCGUAUGAUGUCUGCUGGUUGUUUUCCUUCCAGAUAUUAAGUAUGCUUUAAUCGGAGCUGGGAUUGGCCUGUUCAUAGUUGCUGGUUUCAUUAUUGUCAAGGUCUGCAUCAUCAGGAAGCAUGUCAUUGAUAACAACACAGAUGGUAGAAUGAGGAGAUCUUCAGAGCCUCACUCACUUUGAGCCAUCUCAGCCAACCAGAACAUCCUGUGGCGGCGGUGUCCAAUGACAUGAAGUGUUAGAGUUCAGGCAGAGUGAUUUGCAGGAUGAUGUGAACCCUGCAAAAGUGGCAUCUGGGUGAAAAGUCAGCCAGGCGCCUUUUUCCCCCCUUAGGUUUUGUCGCACAAACAUCAACAUUGUUCCUCAAUUACAUGUUUCAUGAUGGUUUUCAUAAUAAAUAUCCAAAGAGAAUUAAUGUAACUUUUA